rnacentral:rRNA from 1 species
GUUAAAAAGCUCGUAGUUGGAUUUCUGUUACGGCGAGUCGGCCGGCUCUUCGGAGUUGUAGCUAGAUUUCGUGGUAGCAUCUUGGCGUGAUUACCACUGGCAUUCAUUUGUUGGCGUGUAGGACCGCCUCGUUUACUUUGAGAAAAUCAAUUCGUUCAAAGAAGACUAUCGUUUUGAAUGUAUUAGCAUGGAAUAAUAAUAUAGGACUUUUGGUUCUAUUUUGUUGGUUGUUCGAGAACCAAAGUAAUGAUUGAUAGGGACAGUUGGGGGCAUCAGUAUUCUGAAGCGAGAGGUGAAAUUCUUGGACCUUCGGAAGACUAACAGCUGCGAAAGCGUUUGCCUAGGAUGUUCUCUUUAAUCAAGAACGAAGGUUGGGGGAUCGAAGACGAUCAGAUACCGUCGUAGUCUCAACUAUAAACUAUGCCAGCUAGGGAUGAGUGGAUGUUUAAUUACGACUCCAUUCGCACCUUAUGAGAAAUCAAAGCAUUUGGGUCCCGGGGGGAGUAUGGUCGCAAGGCUGAAACUUAAAGGAAUUGUCGGGAGGGCACCACCAGGAGUGGAGCCUGUGGCUUAAUUUGACUCAACACGGGAAAAUUUACCAGGACCGGACAUAGCGAGGAUUGACAGAUUGAUAGCUCU